UACCGUUGAGUCAGCCCGGUUGCUGGGACUGACACACUAACCCCAGGGAUUCUCUGAUCACACCUGCCCUCUGUAGGCCCUUGGCAGGCCUUAAACUCUCGACCCUCUACCUGCAGGCUUCUGAUUGCUGAGAUUCUGCGUGCCGGUGCCAUGACAGCCAUCUUGCUUUAGUCCUUUAGAGGAACUGUCCCAAUACCCAUUCCGAGCCAUCUGCCAUGUCACAUGUGCCUGACCCCUAGGAUUUAACUAUAGGCCUCAUGUCAACAAAAGGUGGCCAUGGAGGUCCUCAAGGCGGACUCCUCUGAACCUGCCACAUGCAGGGUCAUAAAAAGAUCCCUAACAUGGGUCUCCAGCUCUCUUGGCCAAGCCCCUCUGGUUGGAGAGGGGUCAUGUGAUUUGGGAGGUCCAAUGUCAUAAGUCCAGUCCUCUCCAGAGUUCAGGGUUCCUGUCUUUCCAUCAACGUCCUCCGGUGCUAGGGACAGGACCCAGGGUCUCUGUGUUAGGCAAGUGCUCUACCACUGUGUUACACCCCAAACCAGGAUCCUAACCUAUGGGAAGGAAUUCUGUGGCCAGGUACAAGUUGAGUCAUCAGUCACCUUGUAUGCAUCAGAGCAAAGGCUCUGACCGCUGUGGUGUUGGUCCUAUAGCUGUGAGACAGGAGUGACCCCUCAGAGAGGUCAAGGAGUACUGUCCUUCUUACAGCUGAGGACCUGGUGACUGCUGUGAAUGCCCCAGUGCAGUGAUGGGUCCUCUGCUAUGGUCACCCUGCUGCAGCUAUUUGGACUCCAUGUUAAGUGGCCCUUUAUCAUCACCAGCCAGUGGGAAGCAGCUUCCUUAGGCAACGCCCACAUGUCAUCAGCAUCCCGCAGCAAGAAGCCCAGUAGCAUAAUCAAGCCCACCGCCAAGGUCGGACUGUACUGCAGUCUCGUAGAACUGCUUCUGUGCUGACACUCAUGCACCGUCUCAGAAAGAGCCAGAAGCUGUACUGGUCACCUGUGCAGAAAACUGUGACACUAGGGCCAGAGACCUGCAACCACCAAAGCGUGUGCGUGCAGGAACUCAAGGAACACAUAAGCAGCAAGUGCCAAGAAAGAGACCUUGGGAAGCUGCUGAGUGCCUGGGAGAACGCUGUGCCCCCACGGGGAGCCAAGCGUGUGGCUGAAGGAUAGCUGCAGGACUACCCGGGGAGAGGUGCUGGCCGGACACAAGACUCAGAAACAACACUCUGCAAAAAAGGCUGAGGAUCUGUAAAAAGAGUCCACUGGGAACUGCAGUGCUAGAGAAAAGAGGGUGCUGGGCCCCAAAAGGAGGUCUGGGGCUAGGGAGUGAAAUUCUGACCCCCCUCCCUCAGGCGGAAAGAGACAUAGAGGAAGCCCCCUUCUGCCUCCAGGGCUUCCUGCAGUUCCAGCGCCCUCUGCUGACGGAGCUCAACCUUGCACUCACCCGAAGUUUUUCCAGAGCCCAGCUAUACAAAGCUGACUCAGGAGGGAGUAAGUGAAUUAUUAGGACCACCAUGUGUCCAGGUUACAGACGCUGACAAGUUCCUUUCUGGGACCUCUGUAUGCUUGUUCUUGAAACUCAGUCAUCAGGCCAAAAGGGGCCACAUAGCCUGGAAAAGAAGCCAGUCAGGACUAGUUAUGGUUUGCAUGUGAAGUGUCCCCCACAAUACUCCCUAGCUGUGCAAUUUGGGGAGGGUGUGGGAACUUUAGAAAGUGGAGCUAGGUUGGAGGAAGGGUGCUGGUGACUGCCUUUGAAGGUUACACCUGGUCUAGUCCUCCAUCUUGGCUUACUAUCCACUAUUGUGUGAGCAGGCUCCCCUUCUUCAGCUCCUGCUGCCAUGAGGCUGCUCUGCCUCACCACAGGAAAUCCUUCUUUAGAUUGCCUCUGACAGCCAUUUUAUCUCCGUCACAAGACAAGCAAGGAAUCUGGAACUUAUGGUGGUGUGUGCCAGCUCUGACCAGGUGUGCCACCACAGCUGAGGUCAGCAGGGCAGGAGUGAGCCUCCUGACAAGUACCACACAACCCAACUGUGAGGUCCCUGAGGAAUCAGGAACCCACUUGGAUGACAACAUCUCCCACCUUCGUCUCUGGUCUACAAGGUUCCUCACAGACAAGCU